UACAGAGGUCCCAAGCGUUUGUUCGGAUUCACUGGGCGUAAAGGGUGCGUAGGUGGCCAGGUAAGUUCGGUGUGAAAGCUCGGAGCUUAACUCCGAAAUGGCAUUGAAUACUAUCUGGCUAGAGGUUCGGAGGGGAGACUGGAAUUCUCGGUGGUAGCAGUGAAAUGCGUAGAUAUCGGGAGGAACAUCAGUGGCGAAGGCGGCUAUCUGGUCUAACACUGACACUGAGACACGAAAGCGUGGGGGAGCAAACAGGG
rnacentral:rRNA from 1 species